rnacentral:snRNA from 1 species
GUGCUCACUUUGGCAGCACAUACACUAAAAUUGGAAUGAUAUAGAGAAGAUUAUCAUGGCCCAUGCACAAGGAUGACUUGCAAAUUGGUGAAGCAUUUCUGUUUUUU